CAGCAGCCGCGGUAAUACGUAGGUGGCAAGCGUUGUCCGGAAUUAUUGGGCGUAAAGCGCGCGCAGGUGGUUUAAUAAGUCUGAUGUGAAAGCCCACGGCUCAACCGUGGAGGGUCAUUGGAAACUGUUAAACUUGAGUGCAGGAGAGAAAAGUGGAAUUCCUAGUGUAGCGGUGAAAUGCGUAGAGAUUAGGAGGAACACCAGUGGCGAAGGCGGCUUUUUGGCCUGUAACUGACACUGAGGCGCGAAAGCGUGGGGAGCAAACAGGAUUAGAUACCCCGUGUCCCUGUCUCUUAUACAC
rnacentral:rRNA from 1 species